AUUGAACGCUGGAGGCAGGCCUAACACAUGCAAGUCGAACGAGUGGCGGACGGGUGAGUAAUGUCUGGGAAACUGCCUGAUGGAGGGGGAUAACUACUGGAAACGGUAGCUAAUACCGCAUACCAUCGGAUGUGCCCCGAAGGGAUUAGCUAGUAGGUGGGGUAAAGGCUCACCUAGGCGACGAUCCCUAGCUGGUCUGAGAGGAUGACCGGCCACACUGGAAGUGAGACACGGUCCAGACUCCGACGGGGGGCAGCAGUGAGGAAUAUUGCACAAUGGUCGCAAGCCUGAUGCAGCCAUGCCGCGUGUAUGAAGAAGGCCUUCGAGUUGUAAAGUACUUUCAGCUGGGAGGCGUUACCCGCAGAAGAAGCACCGGCUAACUCCGUGCCAGCAGCCGCGGUAAUUC
rnacentral:rRNA from 1 species